GACAGAGGGGGCAAGCGUUAUCCGGAUUCAUUGGGUUUAAAGGGUGCGUAGGCGGAGCGUUAAGUCAGUGGUGAAAUCCUGCAGCUCAACUGUAGACUUGCCAUUGAUACUGACGCUCUUGAGUGCGCUUGAAGUAGGCGGAAUGUGCCGUGUAGCGGUGAAAUGCUUAGAUAUGGCACAGAACACCAAUUGCGAAGGCAGCUUACUAAGGCGAUACGUACGCUGAGGCACGA
rnacentral:rRNA from 1 species